rnacentral:lncRNA from 1 species
CGCGCCGCCUCCUCCUCCGCCGCCCGCCACCAGCACGGCGCCGCGCAGAAGAACAAAUACGUCAGAACGCUAUGGCAUAGGCUGCCGUCAGAUUCGGGACAUCUCGCCUUCAACGAAGGCGAAAGGCUCCGUCUGAUCCUCGAGGUGGACGACCAAUACUUGCUGUGUUGCCGCGGCGACCAGAAAGGGCUGGUCCCGCGGGACGCAGUGCUCCUCGAGGACUUCUGAUAUUGGCCUUCCGACCAGGAGUGGCAGCCAUGUUGGAGGCCGCUUAGGUUCGGCACCAACCCUCCAAGAAAGUAAAGGAUUUUCACGGCCGUAGCUAAGAUUUUGUGAGUGAGUUGAGUACUUUUUAAUUUUAAAAAUUUUCAAUCAAAACAAACUAUAUGCUAGAUGGGUAAGAUCCUCAGUGACAGCGUAGCUACGGCCUUAUUGUGAUCCCGUUCAUAGCGUAAUCGAGGACUGCCACGGCGUUGUGACGCUGUAUAUUCUGUGACAGUGAGCAAGUGAACCUGUGCAAUAGGUAUAGAAUGUGAUACAAAUCGGAACACUACGUUAAGAACGUUUAUAAUUCGUGCGAUCAAGUCUGAACAUAUGAACGCUUUUGGGGACAUUAAUACUGUACAUAUAAUGCCUAGUUUAGGUGAAGGAAUGUUUCUCUGUCAUUGUGUAUGUUUGUUUCGUUAAAGUUGCCUUACAAUAAUCAUUACCUGAAUCUUACAUCACCGCGCGAAGUCUCACAUGUUUAAUUCUGUAGUAAAAUCUAGUCUUACGUUAUAAAUCACGACAAAGUUUUUGUGUGUAUAUACUAUUAUUAAGAAGCGUUUAUAGUGAGAAUAUUUACUGAUGAUCAACGAGCAUUAACAGUAAAUGUUUAUCUCAAUCGGAUGUGAUAUAGAUUACAUACUAUUUAAUUAUAUAAAAAAUAUCCUUUCAAGGAGAACCCUGAUCGUAAGGAAUUAUUUGAAAGUCGCUUCUACCGAGAGAAAGGCACCGAUUAAAUUGAUGUCGUGUAAAUUAUAAUAGAAUCAAAUGAAUUCGUUGAUGUUUACGUACAAUCGUAUUGAAACGGCCGCACCCAUCCGACGAGGUUCGCGGGCUGUGUGUAAAUAUAUCCUUAUACGCAUAGUUGUUUGUGUAUUUAGAUACUGUGCGUUUAGCAAAUUAAAUUGGCAAAUUUACUUACGGAAUUGUUUUGGUGCGGUAUGUGUAUUUGGAUAGUGUUAAUAUUCCACGGAUUGCGUUAACUCCUCGUAGUACUGAUCGCAUGCAGCCUAUCCUGAACACCUUCCUGUGCAGUCUGUGGGGUCAGUCGGGUGGCUUAACAUGUUCACGAUACUAACUGCACGACUCCCACCGCCUCGCCUCUCCUGAAGCCGACCUGCUGUUACAACGUCGGUGUCACUCGGUGUUGGAAUAACAACCUGGGAACAACUAAUUGCAUGAGCCUCUCCGUCUCUCACUCCUUCAGUCCAGCACUGUCGAUCAAUUAUCAACUCAUUGACAUUUAAACACGUACUAAUUUACCUUUACCGCGCCUACAAAUUCAACGAAGUGGGUGUAUGUGAAAAUGUAUAUUGUUUUUGUGUAAAUUCAUUUCGUAAUCGUUUGCUUGUAUUAUCAAAUAUUGUGAUAUUGGUCAUAUCGCAGCUUCUGGGAAGCGUAGAGAAAUGAUAUUUUGGUAUGUCGAUGUAUUGCUCAAGUCGGAAUCACAACGUUUUGGAUAUGAUAUUAUGGAUAUAAAUACUCCCUUAUACGUAUUAUUGUACUUCUCGAUGUUUGGUGUUUGUUUAUCGAUAUAUUAUAAUGUUGUACAUAACACGUAUUAACGAUAAUCUCGUAGUUUAUAUGAAAAGGUGAAAGUAACCAAACCUUUUGAAUGCACGAUACAGUUCCUCGCGUAGUCCGUCGUGCUGUCUCUCGCACACACGUGUAGCGUUGUGUUGAUUAGAAAUCAAAAUUAAUAUAAUCGGUGUGAUGGUGCCUUUCUCGAGCGGACGCGACGUAUCGAAGUUCUUGCCAACAACGUUCGCACCAACCAGAGGCUCGUCGACACGAUAAUCUCAUUAAAAUAAGAUGAACGUUAGUUGACAUGAUAUAGUACUGCGAUAGGUAUAAAUUAAACAAUAAUUAGGUUAAAAUGUUAUCAAAAUUAUAGUUGAAAUAUUAGAUCACGGUAGCCCCGUAUAGUGGUAAAUUGUGACAUCAACUCUGUAUUAUAUAUUUUUGGAAUGAAUUCAUAAAUCUGCGCUUUGUGACUGAAUGAUGUGAUGUGGCCUUUUGUAUGUUAUAAAGUUGUGUUGUGUGUGUGCUUGUUGCAUCGGUCGGUGAGUCGAUAUAUGUUUAUUCAUCGUGUCUACUUAAUAUAAUACUGUACGUAUAGCAUGAGGAAGCUUCCACAAAUUAUUUAUGUAAUUUAUAUUAAUCUAAUCUCCUAAUAGCCGUUAAAGUAUUAGUCGAGUAAACAUGCCUUAAAAUAUUCAAAUGACUUAAUGGAACAUAGGCGAUGCAUGGUGAGUCGAUGGCGUUUGCUUUGCGAUAGCUUCACACGUAAUCGCUUUGCAGUUAACGCGUGUAUCUUUUGCAGUAACCUUAGGGAGUUUGUUAGAAGUAAGUUUUUAUGAAAGGUUUGUAUUAUUGAACGAUGUUGAAAGAUUUUUUUAUAAAACGACAUCCUGCGCGUUCGUUUUAACAUAUUGUUGGAUACAUGUGGUGAGUCAUUUGUCCUUGUGGGUACAAACGUUAAGUUAUUACUGUCGAAUUUGUUUAAGAUUUAAUUUAUAAUUUUACGAUUGGGAUCAAUAAGUUGAAUUUUGUGUUGAAAA